rnacentral:tRNA from 1 species
GCGGGCGUAGCUCAGUUGGUAGAGCAUCAGCUUCCCAAGCUGAGGGUCGCCGGUUCGAGUCCGGUCGCCCGCUCCA